rnacentral:misc_RNA from 1 species
GUGACAACCAUAAUUCCGACCACCAUUAAGGACUUUCGAUUCCGAUAACAGCCACCUUUCAUCGAUAUUUGAAGAGCACCUAUUAUCUGCACGAAGCCAAGGUCCAUAUGCGAAUUGGCUCCUUGAAACUUCAGGAUGUUCCAAAAGCUUUGCACAAAAACGAUCAGAAUGUCCCAAGUAGCCAUAGAAAAAGCAGAAUGUAGAUAACCUCUCAUACUUAAAAUCCACCCACUCCCAUUCCCCUUUAGGAUGUUUCAUUUGAAGCUUACAUUUGAGAGGUUUGUUGACAUCCAUGAGAUUCCAAUGUUUGCAUAUCCAGCUCGGCACAGGAUUCCAAUGAUGAGAAAUGCAUUGUUGCCUAACUCUUUCACCGGCAUUCCUUUAACUGGCCUCCACAUCGCCGCCAUGAUUUGCUUAAAAGCAACAAAAUUCAACGGCUUCUCCG